GCCAGGUGUGGUGGCCCAUGCCUGUAAUCCCAACUACUCGGGAGGCUGAGGCAGGAGAAUUGCUUGAACUUGGGAGGCGGAGGUUGCAGUGAGCUGAGAUCGCUCCACUGCAUUCCCGCUUGGGUGACAAAGCAAGACUCUGUCUCAA
ensembl:misc_RNA Metazoa_SRP Metazoan signal recognition particle RNA